rnacentral:rRNA from 1 species
UACGAAGGGGGCUAGCGUUGCUCGGAAUCACUGGGCGUAAAGCGCACGUAGGCGGACUCUUAAGUCGGGGGUGAAAUCCUGGAGCUCAACUCCAGAACUGCCUUCGAUACUGCGGGUCUCGAGUCCGGGAGAGGUGAGUGGAAUUCCUAGUGUAGAGGUGAAAUUCGUAGAUAUUAGGAAGAACACCAGUGGCGAAGGCGGCUCACUGGCCCGGUACUGACGCUGAGGCGCGAAAGCGUGGGGAGCAAACAGGG